AGGCCGAGCUGCUAGCGGCCAAGCGCGGCUGUUGUCAGCAGCCGCGUUAGCAAGAGCGCUCCGUUGGAGCGGGGGUCGACCUC
rnacentral:tRNA from 1 species